GUGGGGAAUAUUGGACAAUGGGCGGAAGCCUGAUCCAGCAAUACCGCGUGUGUGAAGAAGGCCUUCGGGUUGUAAAGCACUUUCAAUAGGGAGGAAUACCUUGGAGCUAAUACCUUCAAGACUGACAUUACCUAUAGAAGAAGCACCGGCUAACUCCGUGCCAGCAGCCGCGGUAAUACGGAGGGUGCGAGCGUUAAUCGGAAUUACUGGGCGUAAAGCGUGCGUAGGCGGCUUAUUAAGUCAGAUGUGAAAGCCCUGGGCUUAACCUGGGAACGGCAUUUGAAACUGGUGGGCUAGAGUUGAGUAGAGGUAAGUGGAAUUUCAGGUGUAGCGGUGAAAUGCGUAGAUAUCUGAAGGAACACCAGUGGCGAAGGCGACUUACUGGACUCAAACUGACGCUGAGGUACGAAAGCGUGGGUAGCAAACAGGAUUAGAAACCCCUGUAGUCC
rnacentral:rRNA from 1 species